ensembl:lncRNA
UCUGAUUAUCAAGAAGCUUUAUUGUCUUCAUCAGAUUGAACAUCAUCAUCUUCCUCUUCAUCAUCGUCACCAUCAUCAUCCUCCUCAUUAUAGUCAUCAUUCUCAAUAUCCUCAUCAUCUUCAUCAUCACCAUCAUCCUCCUUACCACCACCACUACCAUCAUCACCAUCUUCAUCAUCAACACCUGUGUGCUGGACGUCAGGAGGCUGUUAACAUGCAGCUGAGCCGGGCAGACAGACAGGAAGACAGACGGAUAACGGAGGAAACAGACAGACAGACAGAGGUAGGUCAGACAGAACGGACGCCAAAGGGGGGCAGAGAGGUAGACAGCUGGGCAGGUAGUCAAGUAGGGGAACAGACAGGUGGUCGUCAGGCAGAGACAGGCAGGUAGAUAUGAGGACUGUCUCAGGUAGUCACAGACAGACAGGUGGUCGUCAGGCAGAGACAGGCAGGUAGAUAUGAGGACUGUCUCAGGUAGUGGCAGACAGACAGGUGGUCGUCAGGCAGAGACAGGCAGGUAGAUAUGAGGACUGUCUCAGGUAGUGGCAGACAGACAGGUGGUCGUCAGGCAGAGACAGGCAGGUAGAUAUGAGGACUGUCUCAGGUAGUCGCAGACAGACAGGUGGUCGUCAGGCAGAGACAGGCAGGUAGAUAUGAGGACUGUCUCAGGUAGUGGCAGACAGACAGGUGGUCGUCAGGCAGAGACAGGCAGGUAGAUAUGAGGACUGUCUCAGGUAGUCACAGACAGACAGGUGGUCGUCAGGCAGAGACAGGCAGGUAGAUAUGAGGACUGUCUCAGGUAGUCGCAGACAGACAGGUGGUCGUGAGGCAGAGACAGGCAGGUAGAUAUGAGGACUGUCUCAGGUAGUCGCAGACAGACAGGUGGUCGUCAGGCAGAGACAGGCAGGUAGAUAUGAGGACUGUCUCAGGUAGUGGCAGACAGACAGGUGGUCGUCAGGCAGAGACAGGCAGGUAGAUAUGAGGACUGUCUCAGGUAGUCGCAGACAGACAGGUGGUCGUCAGGCAGAGACAGGCAGGUAGAUAUGAGGACUGUCUCAGGUAGUCGCAGACAGACAGGUGGUCGUCAGGCAGAGACAGGCAGGUAGAUAUGAGGACUGUCUCAGGUAGUAGCAGACAGACAGGUGGUCGUCAGGCAGAGACAGGCAGGUAGAUAUGAG